rnacentral:rRNA from 1 species
CAAUAAGCGGAGGAAAAGAAACUAACAAGGAUUCCCCUAGUAACUGCGAGUGAAGCGGGAAAAGCUCAAAUUUAAAAUCUGGCAGUCUAUGGCUGUCCGAGUUGUAAUCUAGAGAAGUGAUGCCCGCGCUGGACCGUGUACAAGUCUCCUGGAAUGGAGCGUCAUAGAGGGUGAGAAUCCCGUCUCUGACACGGACUACCAGGGCUUUGUGGUAUGCUCUCAAAGAGUCGAGUUGUUUGGGAAUGCAGCUCUAAAUGGGUGGUAAAUUCCAUCUAAAGCUAAAUAUUGGCGAGAGACCGAUAGCGAACAAGUACCGUGAGGGAAAGAUGAAAAGAACUUUGGAAAGAGAGUUAAACAGUACGUGAAAUUGCUGAAAGGGAAACGCUUGAAGUCAGUCGCGUUAGCUGGGAAUCAGCCUCGCUGUUGCGUGGUGUACUUUCUGGUUGACGGGUCAGCAUCAAUUUUGACUGCUGGAAAAAGGCCUUGGGAAUGUGGCAGCUCCGGCUGUGUUAUAGCCCUUGGUCACAUACAGCGGUUGGGAUUGAGGAACUCAGCACGCCGCAAGGCCGGGUUUCGACCACGUCCGUGCUUAGGAUGCUGGCAUAAUGGCUUUAAGCGACCCGUCUUGAAACACGGACCAAGGAGUCUAACAUGCCUGCGAGUGUUUGGGUGGUAAACCCGAGCGCGUAAUGAAAGUGAAAGUUGAGAUCCCUGUCGUGGGGAGCAUCGACGCCCGGACUUGAACUUUUGUGACGGAUCCGCGGUAGAGCAUGUAUGUUGGGACCCGAAAGAUGGUGAACUAUGCCUGAAUAGGGUGAAGCCAGAGGAAACUCUGGUGGAGGCUCGUAGCGAUUCUGACGUGCAAAUCGAUCGUC